rnacentral:rRNA from 1 species
GACAAACGCUGGCGGCGUGCUUAACACAUGCAAGUCGAACGAUGAAGCCGGAGCUUGCUCUGGUGAAUUAGUGGCGAACGGGUGAGUAACACGUGAGUAACCUGCCCUUGACUCUGGGAUAACUGCGGGAAACUGUAGCUAAUACCGGAUACGACCCUCGGAGGCAUCUCCUGGGGGUGGAAAGAAUUUCGGUCAAGGAUGGACUCGCGGCCUAUCAGCUAGUUGGUGAGGUAAAGGCUCACCAAGGCGACGACGGGUAGCCGGCCUGAGAGGGUGACCGGCCACACUGGGACUGAGAUGCGGCCCAGACUCCUACGGGAGGCAGCAGUGGGGAAUAUUGCACAAUGGGCGCAAGCCUGAUGCAGCGACGCCGCGUGAGGGAUGACGGCCUUCGGGUUGUAAACCUCUUUCAGCACCGACGAAGCGCAAGUGACGGUAGGUGCAGAAGAAGGACCGGCCAACUACGUGCCAGCCGCCGCCGUAA